GACGAACGCUGGCGGCGUGCUUAACACAUGCAAGUCGAACGAUGAGGCCGGAGCUUGCUCUGGUGAAUUAGUGGCGAACGGGUGAGUAACACGUGAGUAACCUGCCCUUGACUCUGGGAUAACUGCUAGAAAUGGUAGCUAAUACCGGAUACGACCCUCGGAGGCAUCUUCAGGGGGUGGAAAGAAUUUCGGUCAAGGAUGGACUCGCGGCCUAUCAGCUAGUUGGUGAGGUAAUGGCUCACCAAGGCGACGACGGUUAGCCGGCCUGAGAGGGUGACCGGCCAGACUGGGACUGAGACACGGCCCAGACUCCUACGGGAGGCAGCAGUGGGGAAUAUUGCACAAUGGGCGCAAGCCUGAUGCAGCAACGCCGCGUGAGGGAUGACGGCCUUCGGGUUGUAAACCUCUUUUAGUAGGGAAGAAGCGAAAGUGACGGUACCUGCAGAAAAAGCACCGGCUAACUACGUGCCAGCCGCCGCAGUAA
rnacentral:rRNA from 1 species